UACGUAGGGGGCAAGCGUUGUCCGGAAUCAUUGGGCGUAAAGGGCGCGUAGGCGGUUCGUACAGUCAGACGUGAAAUUCCCGGGCUCAACCUGGGGACUGCGUUUGAUACUGGAUGGCUUGAGUUCGGGAGAGGGAUGCGGAAUUCCAGGUGUAGCGGUGAAAUGCGUAGAUAUCUGGAGGAACACCGGUGGCGAAGGCGGCAUCCUGGACCGAUACUGACGCUGAGGAGCGAAAGCCAGGGGAGCAAACGGG
rnacentral:rRNA from 1 species